rnacentral:rRNA from 1 species
UACGUAGGGACCGAGCGUUGUCCGGAAUCAUGGGGCGUAAAGAGCGUGUAGGCGGCUAUUUAAGUCCUGCGUGAAAUCCUGCGGCUCAACCGCAGACGGUCGUGGGAAACUGGAUGGCUAGAGUGCGGGAGAGGAGAGUGGAAUUCCCGGUGUAGCGGUGAAAUGCGCAGAUAUCGGGAAGAACACCCGUGGCGAAGGCGGCUCUCUGGAACGCAACUGACGCUGAGACGCGAAAGCGUGGGGAGCAAACAGG